AUCCCAUGUUGAGGGCAGCUGGCACACAUUCGUUUGAAUCGUUCCCAAUACUCAUGAAAGGUCUCAGUAUCUUUUUGUUUUAUUCCACAUAUCUCACUUCAAAUGUC